rnacentral:rRNA from 1 species
UACGAAGGGGGCUAGCGUUGCUCGGAAUCACUGGGCGUAAAGCGCACGUAGGCGGCUUUUUAAGUCAGGGGUGAAAUCCUGGAGCUCAACUCCAGAACUGCCUUUGAUACUGAGAAGCUUGAGUCCGGGAGAGGUGAGUGGAACUGCGAGUGUAGAGGUGAAAUUCGUAGAUAUUCGCAAGAACACCGGUGGCGAAGGCGGCAUCCUGGACCGGUAUUGACGCUGAGGCGCGAAAGCCAGGGGAGCAAACGGG